AUUGCCCAUGUGUUGGUAGCGGGGAGAGGGUUUGUAAAUCGUGGGGAUUAUUAUUAGGGAUCGUUGGGGAGCACACUUCUCUGAUCAACUGUUAUUUCAGGAAGAUAGGGAGGCCAGAGGCCAGGGAGGUAGCAGGUCAGUGGGGAAGCGGGUCAUGGGAGCCUUUCUGGGGACUCUCUUCCCAAGAGUCACUCAGGCCUGGGUGACAGGCUCGGGGAAGCCCUGCAUCUUAAAUGGCCUUUCCAGCAGCAGCUCUGCUCAGGUCUCGUCAUCUACCAGCAGAGCCCUUGCUCUGGGCACCUGGUUUCUCAGCCCUGGGCCACCAGGGAAGCCGUUUCCAGACAGGAGGGGGCGGGCCAAGCCACUGACUUCCGAGGAUAUAGCUCUUGGCUGUGGGACUGGGCUCUCCCAGAAUUGUUCCUUUGUCUGCAGAUUCCUCCCUAUUUAGCUCACAAAGGAAAUGGUUCCAGGAGGAAGUGGAAAACUGUGACACACACAUGCUCGCCCCCCACACAAGAUGGCAGCUGUUUCCCCCUACGGCAAUCUGCCCCACCGCCUUCACCAGACGCUUGCGGGGGACAAACACAGUCCCGGGAGUGACCUGGGAGUGGCCUGGGAUACCCGAAGAUAAAAGCAGAGAACCUGCAGGAUUCAAGAGAUGUGACUGAACAGCAUUCCCACUCAGAAGGCCAAGGAUGAGGCUGACCUGACAGCCCACAGAAACCUCUUCCUAUGAAAGAACCAGAAAAUCACCAGGAGCUGCCUCAGGCUGCACUAUUUGGAACGCGACGGUGCCCACUCAUCUUUUGAGGGUUGGUGCAGCUGCCCCUUCCUCCAAGGGGUCUGUCCUGCUUUCCUGGACAGGUGAGGCCAUCCUGUUACAUCCUCCAGACCAGGUGACGUGUUCAGGACCCUUCUGUAUUAAACUGUGAACCGUGAGGGGAGAGACGGGGCCACUGUUGCCCAGUGCCCAGCACAGCAGCGGGUACACAGCAGGUGCACUGGGUACACAUUAAGUGACAGCCCAGAAUUCAGAGAAGAACCAAAGACUAGGGAGAAGGCUUUAAAGCCUGCUUCUGACAACUGUCUCCAAGAGCAGAAGGACUCAAGGGGUGGGGGAGUGGAGCCAACUUGUUCCUUGGGGCACCGGGGGCACUGCGUGGCAGACUUGGACCCGUGGGUGGGGGCUCCAAGACGACACUAUCAGGUUCACUGUGUAGAACUUUUGGAAAUCUCAACUAAGAAGAGAGGCAGAUGUCCCUUCCAAGAGGGGCUGAGCCCCCCUGGGACAGCCCUGUGGCAGGAAGGCAGGGAAAGGGCCAGUACAGUGGGGAGGUGGGGAGUCGGGGAGUCGAGGCAUUGGGCAAAUGGGGUGAGAGAUACCUGGAGGCAAACCUGGGAUUUGCCUUCCCCAGCCUAGUGACCCCAGGCAGGUGGUGUCACCUUAGGCUUCUCCUCUGUGACACAGAGAUGAUGAGAGUGCUCCCCUCAGAGGUGGUGGUAAGCACAAAGAGAGGUAGUAUAUGGAGGGAUGAAACUAUACCAGCACCCGAGUCCUUCUGUAAAGGUUGGUUAUUACUACCGGUGUUGUUAGCAAUCACGGGAUGCGAACACCACCCGGGGCUUAGCCCACCCAUUCUAGGUGGGGGGCUAAGGUCGGGCCUACAAUGCCCACCUGGACUGUGGCCCAGCCUCUCCUCCUCCCUCCCUUCCCCUGCCUGCAGAAGCCUCCCAGUGCCAGCCCUGGAUUGGAUACCGACCAGGCGCCCAGGACUCCAGUCCACAGGGAGCCCAGCCACCCUGGGGCAGGCUCUGGAAGACCCUUGGGGUGAUUCCUGCCUCCAGGGCUGGGGCGAGGCUCCAAGAAAAUGACAGUAGAAGGUCUUGGGGAUAGGUGUCUUGAAUCCUGGAGAGCCCCAAACAUCUCCUCUGCUCCCACAGGAGGCCAACGAGUCUAUACAAUUAAACUCUCUUUGAAAAUGGGUAGAGUCUGAAGUUUUAUAUUCCCCUGUUCUUAACUUAGACACAAAGGUGCGUUGAGGUUAUACUGCUCACGAACAGCUCCUAACUGGUCACCUCUUUCCAGUUUCUCCCUUCUGACUGUCUCACGAGUUCACUGCUGGCUCUAAUCAUUUCCCCCAGCCGCAACACUUACAUCAUCCCCCCUUCUGCUCACAACCAGUCAAUAGCUCCCCGGGGCCCUGACGCCAGUUUCCUUUGUGACACGGAUGAUGAUAGACCUUCACGUGCUUUCAUGCCUCCCUGUGGCUUACCCCUAAUAACUCUGUCAUUCUGUCCCUUCCCAGGAUGGGCAGGCCAGAAGCCAGGAGCCAGAGGGAAAGCGGUACAGAGGGAACUUGGAUUCCAUUCGAAUUCAUUCAUUAAGGCGAUCGUUUACAAACCUGUAUUUUAAGUAUUCGUUUUUUUUUGUUUUUUUUUUUUUAAUUGAAUGCUUCCUAUAUGCUGAGUGCUUUCCUUGCAGGAAUCCAAUUAUCCCCACAGGGAGACAGGUGAUUGUUAUCUCCAUUUUUGGUUGAAGAAACUGAAACUCGGGGGAUUAAAUGGAUGAGUAGAGCCAGGAUUCAAAGCCCAGGCAAUCUGACACCACAGCCAGGGCUCACCCAGCUCCCAUAUUAUGCUGCCUCUAUUAUUAGUUACAAAUCUGAGCAACCAGCCUCUCGGGGACUGGGGACUGGGACACAGGCCGCUGGGGACCUGGAGGAAAAAGCCCUACUCUAUCUGAGGACCGAGGCUCCGUUUAACGUCCACCUGCUUCUCUAGGCUGUAGGCAAGCCCACCCCAUUGCACCCUGAGCACACUUCUGGGCCUUUCUUCUUUCCACUCUGGGAUUGCCUCCCUCCAUGCUUCUGAGGUUCCUGGCUAGAAAGUGGUCCACGAGGCCUCUGGUCCUUUACUAUAUUCUCUAAUGGACAAGGAGCAGAUAGGACUUCACGUCACGGGCACUGGUGACCAAGUCUUACUUUCUCUGCUUUGCUAGGAGACUCUGGGGUGCAAGGACCCUGAGCUCCCCCUCUGUAACCUGAUCGGUCUCUCUGGCUUCUUGGCACACUCCUAGAUCAGUUUUCUUCCGGAUCCAAGUGGAGCUAAAAAAAACCUUCCCCUUGGUUUCAUAUCAGCUGCGUCUGCUCUCAGCAAACCCUUCAACAAGAAUGGGCAGGAAGAAUAAAUAUUUAUUCUACAAAUGAAUAAAUCUGAUUCCAUCUUCAAAAGAAAGCUGCAGCAUAAAUUAUCAUAAUUUCUCCAUUCUAAGAGGUCGCUGAUUUAAAGACAUUUUAUCUGUUGAAUAACAGCUUUGGGGGGGGGGUGGGGAACAAACAGAAAAGUAACUAAUUGAUAUAUCGACUGUAGGAUAGGUUCUGAUUUUUUAAAAAUGUGUUUCCAUAUCAAUAAAUGUUGUUUUUUAAAAAUAUAAUCCCAUUCAAAUUUCACUGUGGCUUUUUUGGCUCUUGUGUUCUCAGAAAAAAACUCCCAAGCCUUGCUUAAGCACUGCGAAGCACGGUGGGUAUUAGCAAUGUAUCCUGGCCACGUUAUGGCCCUGUUUAGCCUUGCGGGCUGCUGGUCAGAGAGGGCAUGUCAUGGCCACCCCCACACUAAUGGCGGCCCCCAAAGCCAAUCGCCAUGUUUUCUCCCCAGCAGCGAUUAUGUCUGUGCUCUGUGACUACCUCACAACCACGUUAGUAGCUCCAUGGGAAGCCAACCUGGGGGGUCCAUCGUAUGCCCUUAGGCAAGAUGCUGCCCCUUGAACCUCGGUUUCCCUAGCUGUGAAACAAGACACAUAGGAUUAGAUAGGUAAUUUUCAAGUGCUUUCUUAAUGGAGUUACGGGAACUGCAUAGCUUCCUUGGGAUUGGUGGGGGCGGGGG